UUAAGCGACUAAGCGUACACGGUGGAUGCCCUGGCAGUCAGAGGCGAUGAAGGACGUGCUAAUCUGCGAUAAGCGUCGGUAAGGUGAUAUGAACCGUUAUAACCGGCGAUUUCCGAAUGGGGAAACCCAGUGUGAUUCGUCACACUAUCAUUAACUGAAUCCAUAGGUUAAUGAGGCGAACCGGGGGAACUGAAACAUCUAAGUACCCCGAGGAAAAGAAAUCAACCGAGAUUCCCCCAGUAGCGGCGAGCGAACGGGGAGGCAGCCCACGAGCCUGAAUCAGUAUGUGUGUUAGUGGAAGCGUCUGGAAAGGCGCGCGAUACAGGGUGACAGCCCCGUACACAAAAAUGCACAUGCUGUGAGCUCGAUGAGUAGGGCGGGACACGUGGUAUCCUGUCUGAAUAUGGGGGGACCAUCCUCCAAGGCUAAAUACUCCUGACUGACCGAUAGUGAACCAGUACCGUGAGGGAAAGGCGAAAAGAACCCCGGCGAGGGGAGUGAAAAAGAACCUGAAACCGUGUACGUACAAGCAGUGGGAGCACGCUUAGGCGUGUGACUGCGUACCUUUUGUAUAAUGGGUCAGCGACUUAUAUUCUGUAGCAAGGUUAACCGAAUAGGGGAGCCGAAGGGAAACCGAGUCUUAACUGGGCGUUAAGUUGCAGGGUAUAGACCCGAAACCCGGUGAUCUAGCCAUGGGCAGGUUGAAGGUUGGGUAACACUAACUGGAGGACCGAACCGACUAAUGUUGAAAAAUUAGCGGAUGACUUGUGGCUGGGGGUGAAAGGCCAAUCAAACCGGGAGAUAGCUGGUUCUCCCCGAAAGCUAUUUAGGUAGCGCCUCGUGAAUUCAUCUCCGGGGGUAGAGCACUGUUUCGGCAAGGGGGUCAUCCCGACUUACCAACCCGAUGCAAACUGCGAAUACCGGAGAAUGUUAUCACGGGAGACACACGGCGGGUGCUAACGUCCGUCGUGAAGAGGGAAACAACCCAGACCGCCAGCUAAGGUCCCAAAGUCAUGGUUAAGUGGGAAACGAUGUGGGAAGGCCCAGACAGCCAGGAUGUUGGCUUAGAAGCAGCCAUCAUUUAAAGAAAGCGUAAUAGCUCACUGGUCGAGUCGGCCUGCGCGGAAGAUGUAACGGGGCUAAACCAUGCACCGAAGCUGCGGCAGCGACGCUGAUGCGUUGUUGGGUAGGGGAGCGUUCUGUAAGCCUGUGAAGGUGUGCUGUGAGGCAUGCUGGAGGUAUCAGAAGUGCGAAUGCUGACAUAAGUAACGAUAAAGCGGGUGAAAAGCCCGCUCGCCGGAAGACCAAGGGUUCCUGUCCAACGUUAAUCGGGGCAGGGUGAGUCGACCCCUAAGGCGAGGCCGAAAGGCGUAGUCGAUGGGAAACAGGUUAAUAUUCCUGUACUUGGUGUUACUGCGAAGGGGGGACGGAGAAGGCUAUGUUGGCCGGGCGACGGUUGUCCCGGUUUAAGCGUGUAGGCUGGUUUUCCAGGCAAAUCCGGAAAACUCAAGGCUGAGGCGUGAUGACGAGGCACUACGGUGCUGAAGCAACAAAUGCCCAGCUUCCAGGAAAAGCCUCUAAGCAUCAGGUAACAUCAAAUCGUACCCCAAACCGACACAGGUGGUCAGGUAGAGAAUACCAAGGCGCUUGAGAGAACUCGGGUGAAGGAACUAGGCAAAAAUGGUGCCGUAACUUCGGGAGAAGGCACGCUGAUAUGUAGGUGAAGUCCCUCGCGGAUGGAGCUGAAAUCAGUCGAAGAUACCAGCUGGCUGCAACUGUUUAUUAAAAACACAGCACUGUGCAAACACGAAAGUGGACGUAUACGGUGUGACGCCUGCCCGGUGCCGGAAGGUUAAUUGAUGGGGUCAGCGCAAGCGAAGCUCUUGAUCGAAGCCCCGGUAAACGGCGGCCGUAACUAUAACGGUCCUAAGGUAGCGAAAUUCCUUGUCGGGUAAGUUCCGACCUGCACGAAUGGCGUAAUGAUGGCCAGGCUGUCUCCACCCGAGACUCAGUGAAAUUGAACUCGCUGUGAAGAUGCAGUGUACCCGCGGCAAGACGGAAAGACCCCGUGAACCUUUACUAUAGCUUGACACUGAACAUUGAGCCUUGAUGUGUAGGAUAGGUGGGAGGCUUUGAAGUGUGGACGCCAGUCUGCAUGGAGCCGACCUUGAAAUACCACCCUUUAAUGUUUGAUGUUCUAACGUUGACCCGUAAUCCGGGUUGCGGACAGUGUCUGGUGGGUAGUUUGACUGGGGCGGUCUCCUCCUAAAGAGUAACGGAGGAGCACGAAGGUUGGCUAAUCCUGGUCGGACAUCAGGAGGUUAGUGCAAUGGCAUAAGCCAGCUUGACUGCGAGCGUGACGGCGCGAGCAGGUGCGAAAGCAGGUCAUAGUGAUCCGGUGGUUCUGAAUGGAAGGGCCAUCGCUCAACGGAUAAAAGGUACUCCGGGGAUAACAGGCUGAUACCGCCCAAGAGUUCAUAUCGACGGCGGUGUUUGGCACCUCGAUGUCGGCUCAUCACAUCCUGGGGCUGAAGUAGGUCCCAAGGGUAUGGCUGUUCGCCAUUUAAAGUGGUACGCGAGCUGGGUUUAGAACGUCGUGAGACAGUUCGGUCCCUAUCUGCCGUGGGCGCUGGAGAACUGAGGGGGGCUGCUCCUAGUACGAGAGGACCGGAGUGGACGCAUCACUGGUGUUCGGGUUGUCAUGCCAAUGGCACUGCCCGGUAGCUAAAUGCGGAAGAGAUAAGUGCUGAAAGCAUCUAAGCACGAAACUUGCCCCGAGAUGAGUUCUCCCUGACUCUUUAAGAGUCCUGAAGGAACGUUGAAGACGACGACGUUGAUAGGCCGGGUGUGUAAGCGCAGCGAUGCGUUGAGCUAACCGGUACUAAUGAACCGUGAGGCUUAACCUU
rnacentral:rRNA from 1 species